CCGGCAGCGCCGCCCUUCCCCUGUUCUCUAGUUCUCUAUGCACCACACGGGAUCCGAGUAGCCAACCGCCUGAUCGGCGCCGCACGGCGGCCAGAGCCCAGAGCUGUCGUUGCCUGAUUGGCGAUUGAUCGCAGGUGGCGGGUUAGCAGGAUUGCAGGCAGGAAUCAGGGGCAGGAAUCGAUUCAGUUCGGAGCCACAACCCGAAAUCAACUAUUGAAGGCAUAAUCGCAAAUUACACGUACUAAUCCUUUGACCCCGAAUUUAACUAUACAAAAUGUUCCAACUGAAUUUAUCUAUCACUGUCGGACUGAAUUCAGACAACACUAUACAAAGUGUUGUAACUGAAUUUAUCUAUCACUGUCGAACUGAAUUCAGGCAGCAGGAGCUCGAUUUUGUUCUAAUAUUGUCCAGCAGGCUGCAGUUCAGAAGUACAAGACAAAGUGUAAAACUACUGAUUUGAGAUCCUUAUUGGAAAGAGCUGCUGCAAAAAAAGGGAGGUCUCUUUGGUACGAGAUUGUUUACAAACUUCUCAAAUUGGUGCUAGUUGCAACAGCUUGUGUUAAGAGGUUCUUCUCAUCAAUGAACUAUGUAAAAAAAAACAAGCUAAGAAGCAAGAUGGGACAAAAAUACUUGAAUGAUUGCUUGGUCACUUUCAUUGAAAGGGAAUUUUUCUUGCAAGUCAAGGACGAGGACAUCAUCACUCAUUUUCAAAGC